rnacentral:rRNA from 1 species
GACGAACCGUGCGAACGUUGUUCGGAAUCACUGGGCUUAAAGGGCGCGUAGGCGGACUGCCAAGUCCGGGGUGAAAUCCUCCGGCUUAACCGGAGAAUUGCCUGGGAUACUGGCGGUCUUGAGGGAGGUAGGGGCACGCGGAACUUCCGGUGGAGCGGUGAAAUGCGUUGAUAUCGGAAGGAACGCCGGUGGCGAAAGCGGCGUGCUGGCCCUCUUCUGACGCUGAGGCGCGAAAGCCAGGGG